AGUGAACGCUGGCGGUAGGCCUAACACAUGCAAGUCGAACGGCAGCACAGUAAGAGCUUGCUCUUACGGGUGGCGAGUGGCGGACGGGUGAGGAAUACAUCGGAAUCUACUUUUUCGUGGGGGAUAACGUAGGGAAACUUACGCUAAUACCGCAUACGACCUACGGGUGAAAGCAGGGGAUCUUCGGACCUUGCGCGAUUGAAUGAGCCGAUGUCGGAUUAGCUAGUUGGCGGGGUAAAGGCCCACCAAGGCGACGAUCCGUAGCUGGGCUGAGAGGAUGAUCCGCCACUGGGGAGAGGGGAAGGGGGCCCAGACCCGAGGGGAGGCAGGGGGGGGAAAGUUUGGGAAAGGGGCGGAAGGCUGUACCAGCCAAUGGGCGGGGGUGAAAAAGGCCUUGGGGGUGUAAGGCCUUUUUGGUGGAAAAAAAAAACGGCAGGUUAAACCCCCGGUUUUUUACAGUAACCCAAAAAAAAGCCACGGCUAACUCCGUG
rnacentral:rRNA from 1 species